AUCAAAUAUCAUACACCUUAUCGUCAAUAUUAUUCUGUUCUGAUUACAUGAAUAGUGACUAUUCGAGUAAUCGUUUCCAAAUCUUCUUAUUUUUGACUAAAUUUUCCAUUUUUCAUGCGUCUUCGCUUAAAAUGAUACACAAAUAUUUUUGAAAGAUACCAGUAAUAUUCCUUAAAACAAAACUCUGAAUGCAUCAGAGUGUGUCUUUACUGACUUCAAAACAAAUAAAAAUGGCGCGUGUUUUUUGUUUCGGUAGCGAAAACGACGGAAUUUAUUUUAUUUAGAAAUUCAUCAGCUGAAAUGUAAGUUAAAAGCAAUUAUGAUUUCCAUAAACUAUUUUUUUAUUGUUACAAUUAUUUUUUUUCAGUAAUAAACAACUCUUCAAUCCUGAGGUGCACCGUUUACUGUUCCGGAAGGGGAAUUCGCGGUCGAAACAUUCGCGGUAACAGCAGCACAUAAUCCAGUAUCCGCCGGAAGCGUUUCAGUACCGCUGCUGGAAUCCGAGGGUCCCCUCUGGUGUGGCUGGUAGAGAAAUCGAUGAAUGGCGAAAGAUGUCCAGGGGACUAAUCGAAGCAUUCGAUACUACUACCCCGACGGCCAGUUCCCUGGAUUGCAUCAAUGAUCCGCACUCACGGCUGUCGGUCACGCGUCAGACUGUUCUACAACGACCAAAAUUGUAUAUUGUUAUGGUUGAAUCAGCAAAACAGGCAGGACACCUUCCCCAUUGCUGAGGUCAUCCACUGUACCCAGCGGCCAGAAACGGCACAGCGAACAUUGUACCAGCACCGAAUUGAAUCACAGAACACCACAGCGAGUAGAAAUUCAAACGACGAACGUGAUGAGGACAGAGACAGAAGCAAGGCAGAGAAAGAAGCCACGCGUGCGGAGCAUCCCGAUAAGGAACCUCUGGCAGACGAUGAUGGUUCACGAUCGUCUGGAAUCACUCAUCCGUGACGCUGUGCUUGUUCUGUCUAGGAACAACCGAGGACACGGCCGUAGCACUCACAAACGGAGCAAUACCUUGGAGGCUCGUGUUCGGCAGCUCACACAGUGCACCCGGCCACAAGUGCGGCAAAGUACCUCUACAUGUGCUCAAAGUAUGAGUCGAACAUAACAACUUUGAUGAAUAAGCGCACCGAUGAAGGUUAGUGAAAAAGUUUUAUUGUUUUGUUAAAGCUUUAAUUUUUUCAAUCCUUCGUUCCAGCUAGCCAAAGUACAGCAGAUGCAAGAAAAAAUCCCCCACCCUGCCGGGCCGCAUAGAAUUAUCGCAGCUAAUUCUGCUGCCGGGCCGCAAAGUUCCCCCGCCGCGCCGGGGGAAAUUAUUUUUUUUCUAUUGGGUUUGAAAGAAAGUCAAUAGCGGUACUGGAGAUGGCAUCGGCACCGGAUUCCCGAAUUGAAAAGUGGUGGCUGCGAAGAAAAAAGUGUUAAACCGAAAGAUUCGAAUCUCCAGAACUGCGGAAAAGGGACCAGCUUCAAUGGCACUGUAACUGCCCGGGCAGAUAAACACAGGAGCAGUUUUAAACAAGUUACCUCAGGGACACAUAGUGACGGUUUCAUUGCACUGUUGACUCAUCUUUUGGCAGUAGAGGUAAAUUAGGUAAAAUCAAUGAUAUUUUUAUAGUUAUUUUUUUUUUAUUUCAAGGUUGCUCCUGGUGUCUGUCGAUCAGCAAAACCGAUCGAACAAAGUGUUCCUACCCUCGAGAGACCUGAGUCUCCUCUCCGGGCAUUGGCUUCAAUCGUACAAAAAUUCUCUCGGAAUGACGUGGAGACCUCUUCUUAGUGAUGAAAUAUGAACGUUCCUCCUAUGAAGGCUUCCUCUGUUCUUUGAGCAGAUCUGAAGGUGUAAUAAACAACGGUAGCUGCAGCCUACAUCGUGUUGACGGUACCGUAGACCCUCUCGCUAAGCGGAUUGCGAUUGUUUAUUGUUGAUGAUCCAGAUAAUUUAGAUUGAGUGCUUUAGUCAGCUACAAAUCGGCCUAAAGAAUGAGAAGGAUAUGAGGUGAAACAUUCGUUUGCACCACGGUGCACAGAACCUGAAGAGUCAACAUUGAAAACAGCGACGAAACAGUCAGGUGAUAAGUGCCUGUAUCUUAUAGUUGGCCCAAAGCUCCAAAAUCAUCCUUUAGCUGCCAUAUUUUGGUAGAACAUUUUGUGAGCAGCGAAUGUGGCGACAUACGAACAAUUGUCUACGAUGUUGGACAUGCAAAUUUUCCAGUGCAAGAAUUCAAAAUAAGAAAUGGUACAUGGGAAUUAAUCUGGAUUCCUCUUUUUUUUUACAAUGGAAGGAGCAGUUGGCUACCGACAUCGCUGAUAAUUCGCAAUUGAAGAUACGUCGUUGACAGUGCCAUUUCGAUGAGCACUCUGCUCCGGAAGCGGAAGCUGCAACGCUGAAGGGCGAGGAAUCCCUGGUGGCUUUUUGAAUGCAGUAAAUUGGAGGUGGAUGCGGUAGACUUUAAUAAAACCUAGUUCGAAGGAGAUAUUGUAAACAAUUAUCAAUUGUCUUAUAUUGAUGAAUAAUAAAAUAUAUGUAAAAAUAUAACGGGAAUCGUCUACUCAUUUUGCAUUUUAUCAUAAAAAGAUCCUUUAAAGAUACACUGUAGCGUCGAAAUAUUGGCGAAGAACGAUUAAUUGAAGAUUACAAGUAUCGUUAUUUUUUUAUGAGAAAACCAUUAAGAAAAGAUUCCACGAAUGAUACAACUCGCUCGGAGUGAGUAGAAAAAAGCAAAAAAAUUGAAUGGUUACUCUACUUAACGACCCGUUCAUUGUAUCGUAAAGUGCGUCCAAACGAUUCCAUUUCAUGAAAAAAUGAUAAGCCUUAUCUUACAUUAAUAAUCCAAAACUAUAGAAGUAAUCUUUUGGGUGUCUUGGGAAGAAGAUAAUGGGAAUAGUCAUAGUAUAAUACUGAUU